rnacentral:rRNA from 1 species
AUACGUAGGGAGCAAGCGUUGUCCGGAUUUACUGGGUGUAAAGGGUGCGUAGGCGGCUUGGUAAGUCAGAUGUGAAAUGUAGAGGCUCAACCUCUGAACUGCAUUUGAAACUAUUGAGCUUGAGUGAUGUAGAGGCAGGCGGAAUUUCCUGUUUAGCGGUGGAAUGCGUAGAGAUAGGGAGGAACACCAGUGGCGAAGGCGGCCUGCUGGGCAUUAACUGACGCUGAGGCACGAAAGCGUGGGUAGCAAACAGGAUUAGAUACCCUGGUAGUCCACGCUGUAAACGAUGAUUACUAGGUGUGGGUGGACUGACCCCAUCCGUGCCGCAGUUAACACAAUAAGUAAUCCACCUGGGGAGUACGGCCGCAAGGUUGAAACUCAAAUGAAUUGACGGGG